AGCAUGACGUGUGCAAGUUCUUUUCUGUCUUGGAGCGGUGCGGUGUGCAGUAGCAGCAGCAGCAGCAGCAGCAGCAGCAGCAGAUCCAUGAUUACAUGAAGUGAAGAAUGUCAAGUACCUUCCCCAUUGUGCUGGUCACUAAGUAUUUCUGUAAAGUCCUGAACAUCUUACCAGUGAUGAUAAUGGCAAGAAAGUGAUGACCGUGUGCAACAACAAAUUCGUUUGAAGUCAUCCAUCCUCACUGAGAGAGACACUAAUGGUGUUUUGUGAUCAUGAUGAUGGUUGUGCUGGUACGGUCAGGAGACGGCUGUGGAUGUUUCCCCUCCAGAGUCAACCAGGAUUACAUGAAGUGAAGAAUGUCAAGUACCUUCCCCAUUGUGCUGGUCACUAAGUAUUUCUGUAAAGUCCUGAACAUCUUACCAGUGAUGAUAAUGGCAAGAAAGUGAUGACCGUGUGCAACAACAAAUUCGUUUGAAGUCAUCCAUCCUCACUGAGAGAGACACUAAUGGUGUUUUGUGAUCAUGAUGAUGGUUGUGCUGGUACGGUCAGGAGACGGCUGUGGAUGUUUCCCCUCCAGAGUCAACCAGAGAUCAUCUGACUCUUACGCCAUCAAGAAUACAUGCUGGGAAGAGACACAGAGUUACAGAUAAACAUCUGGUGCAUUUACAAAAAUAAAAUCUACUUAAUUUACUUCC